rnacentral:antisense_RNA from 1 species
GCGUUCAGUUCACAUCAAGGAUGGGUAUGCACUGGCGGAAAAGCUUACCAUUGCCCAGAAGAUAUCACAGGCCAUUCAAUGUGAGCGCCAAGAAGAAAGGGUAUAUCCAUCCUAUUUUUCUCUAAGACUACAAUCUUGGCCUCUGUCUCUGUCUGCCUCCAGAGAGAGAUUUAGCUUUUGAUCACCUCCAACAAACAACAUCCUUUAGGAUAUUGAAACUGACAAGAGACAGCCUACAAAAUCCUAUGGUUUACAUUAUAAGUCUGAAGGCAUUGCCAUGUUCCGGAUCUGGGGGUUAACAGUGCCUGACGAAGCACAUACCCUCGGUAAGAAUUUAAUUUAGCUCGAAUAUGAAGGGAUGCUUUAUGAGACAAACUGGCAGCAGUUCCCUGGGGUGAGCAGAGAAGUGAGACUAUAAAACAGAAGACAAUUUGCUAUUUCUAAAUUGCUCCCUCUCAAAAACUGUGGUGGGUGUCUUAAAAUCAUCUCGUAUAUCCUUUUACCCAGUAAUCUCAAUUCUAGGAAUGUAUUCUAACAAAAUAAUUGGGCAAGUCCACAAGGAGGUAUGUGGACUACUGUUUAUAUCGUGCCUUUGUUUAUAAUAGGAAAAAAAACCAACAGAAAAACAAAGGUCCAUCAGUAGGAAAUAAAGUAUUGAUUAGGCAUAUAAUGAAAUUAUAUGCAACUUUUAGAAUGCUGAAAAAGUAUAGUACAUUAGACUUCAGACAUCAGCAUUUAGUUUAGUAUACUAUACUAUUAAGUAAAACAGUUUUAAAGUAGAUUUUAUAAAAUAUCUUUGUUUUAAAACAAAGUGUGUUGUAAGAAUAGAAAAGAACUAGAAUAUACAAUAAAAUGUUAAUUAUCGUGUUUUCUGGUUAGUAAAA